AAAAGAGCAGAAUGUAGAAUAAUGCACAGCUUCCUCAUGACACUGAACACCGUGACUUUCUGAAAAUAUGAACAGUUUGGCCUUUUUACAUCAGUCUUGUACUGAUCAAUUCAUUUUUAUCUGCAGACGUGCACGAUGGAUUCAUCCAUGGCACUGAUAAUUGCGAUCACAGCCACAGCAGGGUUCUCCACAGGAUUAAUUAUCGGACAGCAGAAUCCCCCUGAUCCUGCGAUCAGAACAGUACCCCUGCCACAGCAGGUCUGGUUUGAGGAACGGCACUCCGCUGUACCACUGGUACACUUUGAUGUACCAAUCAGACGACUAACUCAACAACAUAAGAUUAGAGAAAUUAAAUGAAGUACCUGAAAUGUAAACUGUAAACAAGGAACAGAAGACUCUGGGUUUUUCAGUGUAUCUGAUUACAUCAUUAAAUCAUUCUUUAGCCUAACAUAAAGUAACCUAAAGGUCUGAUGAUAAACUAUUUGCUUUAUAAUUGAGACUGUAAUGUGGGAAUAUUAAUGGACUUUCAGAUUCUGUGGAAACAACCAUUCUGAUUUAACUGAAAUGUACUUCUUUUUCUUUUACUUGAUUGUAAGAGACUAUAUUUUAAUCAAGCUAUUAAAUGUGUUAUUCUCUCUUCAUCUCAGUGAAGAUUAUUACAAACAACACUGAUAGAAAUUUCCAUUUCUUCUUCCUCUUCCUCUUCUUC
ensembl:lncRNA